rnacentral:misc_RNA from 1 species
UUUCCGUAGGUGAACCUGCGGAAGGAUCAUUCAUAAUAAAGUGUUUUAUGGCACUUUUUAAAAAUCCAUAUCCACCUUGUGUGCAACGGUAGAUCUCGUCAAUCUUGGCGAGAUUUUUAUACAUCAACUCAUUCUUUAACUAAUUUGUCUGAAAAAUAUUAUGAAUACUUAAUUCAAAAUACAACUUUCAACAACGGAUCUCUUGGCUCUC